AAAGUGUGCUAUUUUAUUGCAGGUAAAUGUCUAGCUAGAUUGCCUUUAUAUAUUACCUAGAUAAAAGUUCUCAGUGAUUUAAUUUUCUAUUUUUUGUCAUCCAGAUGUUCAAAACACUGACCCAGCUGGCAUGGAAAUUUCAUUUUUCCAACUUAUGAUAAUGGAUUAAAUCAUAAAAAAGAGGCAUAUUACAUCCACGGAGAUUCACUAGGAUGAUUUGCACUAAAUGGAUUUUUAUAUGGGAUAAUUUUUUUUCCCAAAGUUCAACAAGAGUCAAGAUUAUAUCUCUAUGUGUUUAGGAGCCAAAAAGCCUAAGUAAGGGAGAAAGACACACCUGUCUGUAGAAGUUACUGAAUAAUUGCAUGUUUGUGCUAUUUGCUUAAUGGUAUAACUGAUGAAUCUUUAUGAGUUCUCCUACAGAGUACAACAGAGUUAGAGUGGCGUGGGUAAGGAUUUUUUCAUGUGAUGCGAUGGUCAUCAGAAAGACCAGGAGGGGUCAAGCUCGAAGGAAGAGAUGUCCUUGUUUUGGGGGCAUGGAAGUGUGUGCAGAUAAAUAAUGCGUGCCUCAGACAUAAUGUCUUGGGAGCUCUGGGGACAUUAGGCUUUGGAAAUUUUAUGGGUCUGCUGAUCUGAGCUACUGAGAACACUUUUGCAAAUGUACCUUCAGAUGAGAAACACACAGAGGAAAUCCCUUCAGAACCUCACUGGUGGUUUUAAAACAGCAUGAAAGGACACGUGUCAGUGGUACAAGGAAAUUAGGUGGAAGUUGAAGAGCUAGGCUACCCUCUUCUGAGUCAGAACUUUGUUAAAUUCUGAAAAAUCACGGAAGAUGCUAUUGUCUAAUGAGAAAAACUUUAUUAAGAUGAAUAAAAGGAAAAAGGUAAAACCAGUAAAAUCCUUUCCUCUGCAUACUUCUUAAGGGAAGCAUAGAGAAAGCCACGUGCGCAAAAUGGCAGAGAGAUCAGAUUGUUUUGUCUAUCUCUGCAGUGAGUUGAGCUGUAACCACCUGGCAGAGUAAGGAAUUGCUGCUCAACCAAACACAUAUCACAUGGAGUGGUAGCACUCUCCUGCUAUUUCAUGAGAGUAUAUAGUUUAACGUUUGUGUGAAUGUGUGGCUGGAGGCGCACCCUGUUUACGACAGGCUAUGGAUAUCUGUGGAACGUUGCCCUGGAAGAAUUUGCAAUAUUUCCAGCAGGAAACCCAAAUGCCAAGCAGAUGUAUUUUGGUCCAGACCUAAACUAUUGGACUCUUCAGUUUUAUUCAAACUGGCAGAAAAUCUUCACUUUAUCCAGUUUAACAUUUUUAAGACAACGGUCACAAAACAAUGACUUUUCAGCCCUAUUGACAAAGACUGGAAGCCACUGGGAGGGUCAUGCAGAUCUGUGUUUCCCUGAGGGCACACAGACUGCUCAUUAAAUCUGCUUGGUCAUCUCGCUUAUGCAUUGAACUUAAAAAAUCAAAACAACAACAAAAAAGAAACCCAACCCAUAAAAGCAUGUAGCACUCCUGCUCAGAGGAUGUUUAAGGGAGUUAAUCCAACUUGAUCUUUCUCCCACAUACCCUCUAUGGGAGGAAAUAUUUAUGGAGGAAACAAACUGAAAAAGAUCACAAAGAUCCUGCCACAUAGAUUUCCUGGUGUUAUUCUACAGAGGAAGAGGCAAAAGUUCUUUCCUCAAAUUCCUUUCCCCAUGUAAACAGGGGGAAGAAUAUUGUCCUUUGUCAACAUUUUGUUUUGCUCAUUUACCGUUAUCUUCUAAACAUGUUCUAUGAAGAAGCAAUUUAUUAAUCAUGACCGUGUUGUGUUCUAUAACAGAAACGAUCCUUUGGGACCAUAUUUGUAAUAUGUGCUGAAAUGUAUUUUUUGCUAAGUGGCCUUAUCUAUAAUUCAGAGUCUUUGUGUGCUUUGGAGGACCAUUUGGCAAACUCUGUGCAAGGAAGUAAUUUAGUUAUCUGGCUGCAUUAAGGAUGAAAUCAAUUUAAGAUGAAUUAGGACUUCCAGAAAAGUGAUAUGAAAAAACCCCACCUAAGUUCUUGGCUUUGGAAGAAGUAAUUAACCAGUACUGGAAGAGCCUUGGUGAACAUGCAAUCGGAUAUCCUUUAGUGGAUCUAGAGGAGCAAUUUAAGAAAGUAUUGUCCCCAGCUUUACAUUCCUACCUCUCAGCAGGUUGUUACUUUUUCAAAAGUUUAGAUGUGGUGUCUACCCUAGCAAGUGCUUCUAGCCUGUUUCAGUGACAAAACAGAUUAAUUUAAAUCACUGUUUGAGAUUAUUCAGGGGGCAGAGAGCAAAUAACUUUCAAAUGAUGUGAGACUUCAUUUCAGUUUGAGUCCCUGUCUCCUCCUCAUUGCUCCAUGGCAAUAAAAAACUGUUGUAGAGGGGCUGUUGCAACCCAAGUACCCAAGUGAAGGCAAAGGUCCAGCUGAGAUUGCCUUCAGUUCCAGAAGGUUCAGGUUCAAAGCAUGAACUUAGAGACUGGUUAUUGAGAACACACUGCUAAGUCUUCGCUAAGUGAAGAUACAGUUCACAAGCAUUUAUUUCAAGUCAUUUGCAAUAUAGUGAUAAAUCUGUGCAGUUUUAUUUCCAGCUCAACAGGACAUUGGACAUUGCUAAACUGUUUAAUAUACGUAAUGUGAUACUCUGUGAUAAAAAUGAUCCAUUAGUGAGCUGAGUGACAAAACAGCGUGUCUGAAAAAAGUCCUUAAGGAUAGGCCAAGAUAGUUUGCAUUUAUUUUAAUGAUAUCCAAAUGGUGUUCUAACUAAAGAUGUUAAUAAUUAUGAUGAGCAAUAAAACUCUAGAAAGAGUUAAACUUACUGGCAGGCUUUAUUCUGCUGCAGUGUUCUGUUUGACAUAAUUCCAUAACCUCUUCCCUUCAAUAAAUGUCAACUACUUUGUUGUAUUUUUUUAAUUUCUUAAAUGUCCUAGCUGUGAAGAGAGACAGAGCAUGAAAAUUGUCAGGGAUAUAUCACGUUUUGCAUUCACAUGCUCAUGGUUUUUGCUAGGGUGACUGAAAGGCCAGAGAAGAUGCUGCAGGAAGACUUUCAAGCAACAGUAAAUACGGAAGUUGUUUCCAACUCAAUGUUUUGAAAUGCUUUAAAAGCUUUAAUCAAAAGGCCGUGCUAUGAUCAACUCUGGUAGAGGAAUAAGAGUAAUAUUUCCACAAUAAAUAUUUUAUUUUUGAUGGUACUUUCUCUGAAAACCACUGAUGGGGAAGUGGGGGGAUUUGACGACAACACAGAUUUUAAAAAUGCUGUAAACUUAUCUAAUGGCAGAAGAUGAUGACAGUUUUCAAAGAUAGCCGACCAGUCAAGAACUGCUGCAGCCAGAUGAAAAACCUCCAUUGCUUUUACUCUGAAGCUUGAUUAGUUAAUGAAAAGGUCUGUGUGAUACAGUAGUAUCUGGCACAAGGGAACAGCCUCAAAGGCCUUUGAAGUCCUUUCCUCUCAAAUGUACUUCAGCAGGUAGAACAACAUGUUAAAACAAGAUCUUUGUGGUAGCUCCACAUCAUCUACCCACGACCAUCUGGCUUUCAGUGCUCCUCCUUGUGGCUGGUUUGAGAGUGUGGUCUUCUGUUUAUGUGGUACUAGAGACACUUUUGCAGGCUGUGGAUUUGUAAGCGUUAUAAAAUGAUCGAAUCAUAGUGGCCUGAUCCAUCUCCUACCAAAAAAACUGGAAGACUCUUAAAUCUUCUCUGGGGCUGAAACUGAAUGAGUUUGUGAACAAGUCACAGAAAGCACCAAGCAUGGUCAAUACUUGCACCCUGCCUCACAGUGUUUGAUACAGGACAAGCAGAAAAAGGCAAAUGAAGAGCUUUCAUUUCUGUGGGUACUUACACUGUUACUGACACAGAACCUCUAGAUGCAGCUUUGGUCUUGGAAAACUGUUUAUUCUGGAGCGUAAGAAAGAUGGAGGUGGCCCUAAAUAAUCCUUUACCCUACGCAUCUUGGAAGAAACUAAGACAAUAAUAAUGUGCCAUUUUGCACAAGCAUGAACUGGGGUCCAUAUAGAUAAUAAAUAGCAAAUGAAGCUCAUUGUAAUGAGUGAAAUUGGGUUAAAGACAAAGCUGUCCCUGAGUGUCUUCCUCCUAUGGUCAAGACUGACAGAAAUAGGUGAAGCUAAUAAACUUAAUCCUUGACCCAGCUUUAACAGUAUUUCCAAAGGCCGUUUCAGAAAAUAUAAACACAUUAAAGAAGAGCCAGAAACCUAAUCUGCUCAGCAAUCACAGAUUUCUCAGUUGUGUGUUGAAGACAUAGCAACCUAAAUUACCCUUGAAAUGACUCUUUUUCAAGUUAUACACUUUUAGUAGUACAAGAACUUAUUCCAGACAAGGACUUAGCUUGGGUUUAUGUUAACAUAUAAUUUGUAAAAGUUUGUAAUAAACAUGCCUCACUGAAACUGGCAGAAAUUACAGGAAGGAAAACACCACUACUAACUUUGGGCUACUUGCUUUGAUUCAGACCUUAUUGUGUUAUGUUUGUCAUGUGAGCUUCAAAACUGCAGAGAAGUGAUGAAUCGUUGUGUAACUAGGACCAGAAUUUCCAAAGCAGCCUUGUCUUUUUAGAAACUCUCUUUUGAUUAAGAAUUUUGACUUCCAAUAUAAAUAUUCACCAGAGGCCUGAUGCUUAGAUCGGGAAGUGUACUAACAGGCUUUCAUUCAGACAGGAAGAAAUAUGCAAUGCAUAAUUCAAGACCUUAGGCCUGAGCUGGCAUCCUGUUAUACACCCACUGAAGUCAAUGAAAUUUUAGGGUGUACAGGAAGCGCCAACUGAAGCCUUACAAAUAAACACUUAGUAGUAUUUAUAUAAAUGUGGUAAACAGAAAAGAAAAAUACCAGUAUGCGUGCUGGUGGUCAGUCUGAAAUUACCACUCUUCUCAGGCCAGUUUUUAUAUCCUUUAGUAUAAUAGGGCCAUCAUUAUUUUUCCAAUGCUUUUCAACUCGUGGUAAGAGAUAGUUUCCCUUCAGUUAGUCACACAAACUAAAAGCAGGUCUGUAAUCUCAGUUUAGCUGUAUUUGGAAACUAGUCUUGUUUGUAAAUGAUGAAAGGAAACCAGGCAGGAACCUAUUUACCAAGUUUCUCUGUAGAAGCAUUCAGUUUUUCCAAGGUCGCUCUUUUCUCCACACUGACCAGCUUCUCUGCACUGGAUAAAGUUUUUGAAUCCUUCAAAAUACAAGUUUACCAUUGGUACAAUUCAGGAGCUUAAAAAUUAAAGCAUGCAUCAAUGUCUUUGAAAGUAUGUUUUAGAAACUACUGUGAUAUUGCACUUUGUGUGCAUGUGUGUGUGUAUGUUCUAUUAUUUAAAACAUGAAGAUGGUUUGGUCAGAAUUGCUCAUGACAUUGUUUGAGACACAGAGCAAGCUCAGAAUGGGAGAAUUCAUUGCUCUGAAGAGCCAAGACUUUAAAUAAUUUAAAGCUAUGUUUCUUGUUCUUCCAAAAUGAAGCUUAAUCUAUUAGUUAGCUGUCUAGGAAGCUACUGUUCAAAGGUGAUGGACAAUCUUGAAUGAAGUGGAAAAAAAUUGUUGGUAUAAAUUAAAGAAAUAUUUAGUUGUAAUAAAUGGUGGCAUUUUAAUAAUUAGUGAGAAGUCUUGUGUUUAUAGAUUUUUCAUAACAUACUAUGUAAGUAAUGAAAACAAAGCAUCGAUUAUUCAACAUACAAAAGCCAAUUUUAGGGGUAUAACAGAUGGAGAGUGCCAGAGCCAGAGGAGAGUGAAUAUUUUUUAAAAGCUAUGUGAUCACGUAAUUAAAUUGAGUGGAUUAAAUAUGGGAAUUCACAAACAUUCAGGUGAGUUAGGUUCUGUUCUCAUUGACACUGGAGAAAUAAUGAAAUUUCUGUUUCCCUACAUGUACACACUGUUUAGAAAACCAUUUAUUAAUGUUGAAAUUAAUAGCAUCACGACCAUGCAUUCAGCAAGCCCAAAACCAUAACAUGACUUGAAUGACGCAUAACAAAGUGAUUAUGGGGGCAUACAGAACAGUGCAACUUCUUCCAAAUUGCUGAAAAAUUACAAGUAUUACCUUGUUAACAUUUGUCUCAUGGCACGACCAAACCAGUAACACAGAAGAAUGGCAGGAAGGAGAGUGGGAAGAAGAGGGAAUGACUGACCUUUUCAUGAUUACAGUGUUUGACAAAGCUGGAAAUAGUUGCAUGUUCUCCAAGUCAUAGUCUGAAAAGACUAUAUUCUCUCCUUAAAGAAACAAAUUCAUUUAAAAAGCCCUUAAGAACAGCACCAAGGACUGUGUGUAUGGGUACAUAUAUGUGUGUCUAUAUAUGCCAACCAAACGGCUGUUUCUUUGAGGCGUUUCAGCAUCCUUGAUACUGGAUACUGCUUUGUUUUAAAUCAUCUCCACCAUGAGUUUUUCAAUCAAAUCAAGACAUUUAUUUUUAAAGGUGUUUUCUACGAAAUGGAUAGCCAGACGGAGGCUAUGUCACAAGCAGAGCCAGCCAACUCCUGCCUAAAACGUGCAAGGCACAAUUUUGUACUGGUGCUUGCUCUUUGAUUUGCUUCCUGUAGCUAACUAGAUACAGAAAAAGAGCGAGCUGUAAUCAGCUUUCCCACCUAAGGUCUGAAACAGAUAACUUGAUAAAUUCAUGGAAAAUGAAGUGACCGAGAAUCAUCUGUCGUGUCUUUUCCAAUGAUGAUAACUGUAGUUAAGCUUUCCAUUUUCCCAGAGAUACCAUACAUACCUGUUGAACCUGCUCGAAUCUUUUGCCGCACCAGUGGAGAUAAAGCAGGCACUUGACUGGCUUUAUUGAUUCCUGGGGUCACACAGUUGCUCUGUUUCCUGUUUUAUGGUGGGUUCUUUUUUUUGUAUUAAGUUCAUAUGUCAAUGGGACAGCUUUCAUGUGGUUUUGGAAGUAUGUGACCAGCCAUGCAGUCUCAAAGAAACAGCCAGUUUUCUUUCCAGUUUAUAUUGCUGUAGGUGUCUAUGGGCUUGAAUAUCUUCCUCUUUACAAGCACCUUUCUGUCAAAGAAACAGAAGACAGCUUUCUUACUCCCCAGCCAUCCUGCAAAGUCCUGCAUGAAAUAGUCUCCAGUAGCCUACAGGUCUCACAGCAGUAAUUCAGUCAAGUGCACAAAUUCCACUCUUAGCCCUGUGUUUCUUACGCUGAUGUUGACAAUCUCUUUGGGGAAUGACAGGGAGGAGACUGGAUGGCUCAAAAUAUUAUUGAUGGGCUGCUGAAGGUCUGGCUACAGUUUUUGUAGAGUCCUGAGGGAACUGACUAUGCACUCUCUAUUAAUCUUCUGUUAAUUCAUCUCAUGGCUGAAUCCCACCCCUAAUGUCGAAGAGUUCAGCCCUCUAUUUAGCCAAUUUGGUCAAAGGCAGGCUGGUGGCAACUGAAAGCUAUGACCAGCUGAUGGCUAUAUCCAGUGCUAGUUUGCGAAUAUUGCUUUAGAAGCCUCGGUCCAAAUUUUACCUACAAAAUGUCAGUCUCUCCAAAAAAUUCCUCCAGAAUAACUGCUAGCCAAAGGUUCGGGGCAACCAAGGGUUUGAAGACAAGAAGGGUGAACUUGUCUCUUCCCUAGAAGUGUUGCCUGUACGCCAGCAAUGAAGUGCAAAGGGGCACAUUUAUGUUAGCACCACCCAGGCUGUCAAUAAAGAACUUCUGUCCUCAGAAAUACCAACUCAAGUUCAUAGGAAUUUCCCACUCUUCCAAAACCACUUUCCCACCAGGCAGAAGGGAUCACAAAAUCAAACAGCAUUCCCUCCUUCUCACAUCUCUGCAGUUUGUAAGCACUGUGCCUGUCAUAAUGUUCCCAGGAGGUUUCCUUAACCAUAAUGUCUCAUCUCUGCAAGCAGCUGCUUCCUUUUUGCAUAAGAGUUCUUGGAGACUUGCUUCACUUAUCAAAACUAAACCACUGAAAAGCUGGUAAAUAACUAAGUUCUAUUGGGAAGAUGAAAUCCCACUGCAGAUGAACAGAUUUGCUUAACCUAUAAAAUAAUUCUGGAAUAACUAUUGUUUUGGCAAAAUUCUAAAAUGUAACAAAGUUUGAUUGUUCUUGGCUUCUCCUAAUUUGCUUACUUUGGGGUUAUAGCUGACCCUUAAUAUGCACACGUUAGUCCCAUUACUGUUAACAGGAGUUAAAUAUACACACAUAUCUAAGAGAGGCUUGACCAUUUACUCCCAGUGUUCCAAGGUCAGCUGAAGUCUGGACCUUUUACUUUCUCUAUGCUCCAUUAAUUGAGAACAAAGCUUAUGCAAGACUUCCUUGGGGAACAUGGGGUCUGAGGUUUUUACAGUCCACAAGGCUAAAAUUCAAAUAUGAACCACAGCUGUUUGGAUAGGAAUCUUGGACCUCUUUGUUUUGAACUAUAGUGACCUGCUCAGGCUUACCAACACGUGAAACUCUGAAAUCCCUGCACAGCUAAUGACUGGGAUGUGAAAAUUGCCUGGCAGGCAGACCUGGGUAAAGUGACCAAUUUAUAGGGCUCUGGGAUUUGCAGGUGGAAAGGCUGUUCUUUGUCUUCAUCUCUCUCCCCCCCCCCUCAUGUUCUAUACGCAUCAUUUAAUGCAUAUACAUCCAUGCAUAUGUGCAGAUUUGAAUCUAUGUUCGCCACCCAACCAGCUGACCCAAUGUUCUUGUUGCAGAUGGUGAAGUUCCUCCCUUCUUCCAGGUACAGGUAUUUUUAUGAGUCCCUGGUAAGAGGUAAAAUAAAAAGGGAAACAGAGUGUGGGAAAACCUAGUCAUUCCAUUUAAGUAGUGAUAGACCUCCAGUGCCCUAACACUUUUAAAUACAUUCUAUAUACCCAUGGUAGUGCAUGUAUUUUGAAGCAUAUAAUACAUAUAAAAGUGCCAGUUAAACCUUCCCUUUGAUUUAACUGCAAUUACACAAUUAUCUAGAAUAUCAGGAAGGAGUAAUUUUGCAGAACUGAGACAUGAUAUGCUGGAUAAUAGUUAAGCUAUUUAAAUGGACUGGCAGUCCACCUUCCAGUGGCCAUUGUGGCUUGGAUCAGGUGAUAAUCUCAGUAGAGGCUGCUUGGCUGAUUGUGUUUUUCUUGAGGUCGAUGAUAGAUCAUCUUAUAUGACCUUACAUUUAGAAUCCAAUUCCAUUAUCUUCUUUGCAAAAAUUAUAUGUAUUUGCUAUAUUAAUGUCUUAUCGCAGCAAGACGAAGCAUAUCUUGAUCUGUUCUGAGCAUCCGACCUUUCACAUUCAUUUUGCUGUUGCAAAGCACGUCAAAUACAAUGGAAAGACUGUGGGAAAAAAAACACAAGUCUUUAUGUAGUGAUAUAAUGAAUAUCUUUGUGCAUCCAAGAUAAUAGGAAUUCCAGCAUUCAUGCUUACUAUAAAAUAUAGCAAGCAACGACUAAGUAAAUUCUGUUUGUUUUAAUACGGAAAUAAUUUUGACUGCAUCUUUGGCUUUGUAUGACAUGGAAACUGGUGAUUGUUUAUGCUUUGCUACUUUUUUUGGUCUGCAUUAAAAUCCCACAUGAGAAACAAAUUUUUCUCUAGGAACAAAAUGUUACUUUUUUGGGGACUGAGUUCUAAUUAGUUGGGUAGUACGUCUGUUUCUUUUCAGUUGGGAAAAUGCAAUGCAUAUAAAAUCCAGAUGGAUAGCACAUGAUGCUGGAACCAGCCCCAGCCAAUCAGCCACGUCACUUGAUUAAAAGAAACCUAUAAGAAUUUAAGUAAAAAACCAAACCCAACAAGAUAGUCAGAGCAGCAAACUGGCUGCAAUAUGGGAUUUCAUCACAGCUCUGAGAUUGCUUUUCUUUUGCUGGUUGGCCUCCCCAUGCCUUAUUGAAAGUUAACCUGCAGUUGUAUUUAAUUUAAACUUGUGUAGGAUUUGUGAUUAAGACCCUGAGUACCAAUGGUGGAAGACACGUGGUAAGCGGGAUGGGGAGGAAAUUCAUCGUCAGAUUACAUCAGGCCACAAGGACCACAGCUUUAGGGCAACAGGCUCUUUGAAGGAACGCAGCUGAGAGAAAUGCAACAGAAAUCUGCCCCUGCACAAACCGUAGCAUUGCAGACCAAUUCCUUUUGUAUGGAUGCUGUCUGUGACUGAACAGUCUUUCAGCGAGCAAGUAAGCACAUAUUACGGCAAUUACUCACAGCCUCGCCGUGCGCAAAAGCUCCCAGGGUUUCACCAAACUUGAGAGUGAGAUUUUCGGAGAGGUCUAAGGCGGGCUAUGAAUUCUGAAGGAGAGGCAGGCAGGCCUUGCGGAGGGAUGGAGCAGCAUCUGGAAUCCCUACGGACAACUGCAGGAAUGUUUAUUAUUCUUUGUUUAUUAUUUUGAGUGUGUGCUCUCUCCCUCUUCCUCUCUUUGUCUCCCUUUGUUAUUUGUGUAAUAAAAUUCCUCUAGGCACAUAAAGUAAGUCAUCUGGAAUUGUGCAACUCCUUCUGCCAGGAAGCUGGAAAAGCCCCUCUCCUGUGCAGAGAGAAAAAUAUGGACUUAACCAUUGAGAAAUUACAGAAAUACAGCAUUUGUCUUUGGGUUACACUUAUAUAGCAAAAAGCUGUGGCAAAUAAUUGUGCUUCUUGCUGUUAAAAAUUCUGCUUUUAUCCUGUCCGAGGUGUUAUGUUUAUUUAAAGCUUGAGAAAUAAUUUGUACAUUUUAAA